AUGACAGAGAAACAACCAAAAGAAAGAGAAAACGGAGUGACAAUGAAACUCCACCUCCCAGUAAGAGCCGAAAACGCCAGAGUGCAUCCUCCAGCCCAGCUCGCAGCCUAUCCCCUCAAAGAGGGAAACCGCAGCAUAAAUCAGAUCCUCGUCAAGAUGAGGGGAGGAAAGGGAGAACCCCUGACAGAAGGCUUUGUGGCCGUAGUGAGGAAAGUCCAAAAAGGAUUGAAGUCAGAGAGAGGUCACCAAGACGCUCAAGAACGCCUGAGCACAGCAGAAGAGACAAAGGCAGAGAACGUGAGAGAGAAGUGCAAGAAAAACCUCAGAGAAGACGACAGGACUCCUCAUCGCCAUCUCCACCACCAAAGCAGCAGCGGGACAGACGACCACGGAGUGAAGAGAGAGAGAAACCCCCUCAGACAAGAAGACAUGGCUCUUCACCAUCUCCACCACGCAAGCAGCAGCGAGACCGGCGACAGCGGAGCGAAGAGAAAGAGAAACCCUCUCAGUGGAAAAGACACAACUCUUUGUCUCGCUCUCCGUCUCCUAAGCAGCAGAAAGAUAAGAACCGAGGGGACGAUGAGAGAAAGAACAAAGGUCAAAGAAGACAUGACUCAUCCUCAUCCCAGUCUCCUUCACCACGUAAAGACAGAACAAGAAGAGGAAACAGUGGAGAGAAAGAGAGAACAGUUUCCCCCAGGGAAAGAGAAAAGGAGAGACAUGGGGACAGAGCGAGAGACAGACAGAGGAAUAGCGAUAGAGAUUCAAUCCCAUCUAGUAGAAAAGAUGACAGAGGACGGGAGAGUGAUAAAGGAAAGGAGGGAGACA
rnacentral:lncRNA from 12 species